rnacentral:rRNA from 1 species
UACGCUGGCGGCACGCCUAACACAUGCAAGUCGAACGCAGUAGCAAUACUGAGUGGCAAACGGGUGAGUAUAAUGUGGGAAUCUGCCUUUUGGUUUGGAAUAACACGGGGAAACUUGUGCUAAUACCGAAUAAGCCCUUACGGGGAAAGUUUUAACGCCGAAAGAUGAGCCUGCACUUGAUUAGCUAGUUGGUAAGGUAAAGGCUUACCAAGGCUACGAUCAAUAGCUGUUCUUAGAGGAAGACCAGCCACAUUGGGACUGAGACACGGCCCAGACUCCUACGGGAGGCAGCAGUGGGGAAUCUUGCACAAUGGGGGAAACCCUGAUGCAGCGAUGCCGCGUGAGUGAAGAAGGCCCUUGGGUUGUAAAACUCUUUCGUCGGGGAAGA